rnacentral:rRNA from 1 species
AAAGCGUGCGCAGGCGGUUAUGCAAGACAGAGGUGAAAUCCCCGGGCUCAACCUGGGAACUGCCUUUGUGACUGCAUAGCUAGAGUACGGUAGAGGGGGAUGGAAUUCCGCGUGUAGCAGUGAAAUGCGUAGAUAUGCGGAGGAACACCGAUGGCGAAGGCAAUCCCCUGGACCUGUACUGACGCUCAUGCACGAAAGCGUGGGGAGCAAACAGGAUUAGAUACCCCAGU